rnacentral:rRNA from 1 species
CCUACGGGUGGCAGCAGUGGGGAAUAUUGCGCCAUGGGCGAAAGCCUGACGCAGCGACGCCGCGUGAGGGAUGAAGGUCUUCGGAUCGUAAACCUCUGUCAGCAGGGAAGAACGGUCACUGUGCUAAUCAGCAGUGAAUUGACGGUACCUGCAAAGGAAGCACCGGCUAACUCCGUGCCAGCAGCCGCGGUAAUACGGAGGGUGCGAGCGUUAAUCGGAAUUACUGGGCGUAAAGCGCUCGUAGGCGGUAUGUCAAGUCAAGGGUGAAAUCCCCGCGCUCAACGUGGGAACUGCCUUUGAAACUGGCAAACUGGAGUGUGGGAGAGGAUAGUGGAAUUCCAGGUGUAGGAGUGAAAUCCGUAGAUAUCUGGAAGAACACCGAUGGCGAAGGCAGCUCUCUGGGCCGUCACUGACGCUGAGGCGCGAAAGCUGGGGGAGCGAACAGGAUUAGAUACCCGAGUAGUC